rnacentral:tRNA from 2 species
CUGCCGGCUUGGGUCACCGGAUUCGAUCCGGCCCCUUCGUGGGGGUCGUUGAGAGAGCGGAUCGUCGCUGCUGCAAGCAAG